UGUUUCAGUUAUCAAAUUCUUUUUUUGGUAAGGAUUCUGUUAUCAAAUAUUUAGUAAGAGAGAUACUAUUACUAGCUACUUGAAGCUUUAUUCAUUUAAUAAGCAUUUUAUUUGGCAUCAACGAAAUCAACAUGAAUACAAACGGAGUCUUGCUAUAGUGUGCAGUCAUCGGAGUGCGAGGUGACAUAAUGAGUGAUCCCCAAAAGCAUCGAAUCCUGAUGGUCUCAGAUUUUUUCUAUCCCAACUUUGGUGGUGUGGAGAAUCACAUAUAUUAUCUCUCACAAUGCUUGCUCAAGUUAGGCCACAAGAAAAUGAAUACUCAGGUGGUGGUUGUAACUCACGCUUAUGGAAAUCGAUCUGGGGUCAGAUAUAUGACCGGUGGUCUGAAAGUCUAUUAUGUUCCAUGGAGGCCAUUCGUUAUGCAGAAUACAUUACCCACCUUCUAUGGGUUACUACCAAUUAUAAGAACUAUCCUUAUUAGAGAAAGAAUUACUAUAGUUCAUGGACAUCAAGCAUUUUCAACAUUUUGUCAUGAAGCUCUUAUGCAUUCGAGAACCAUGGGAUACAAGGUUGUGUUUACAGAUCAUUCGCUGUAUGGUUUUGCUGAUGUCGGAAGCAUCCACAUGAACAAGGUGUUGCAGUUUACCUUGGCAGAUGUGAGUCAAGCCAUAUGUGUUUCACAUACAAGCAGGGAAAACACGGUGCUGAGGUCAGGUUUGCCACCAGAGAAGGUUUUUGUAAUACCUAAUGCUGUUGAUACUACCAUGUUCAAGCCAGCAUUGGAGCGUCCCAGCAGACGGGAAAUCGUGAUUGUUGUUAUCAGCCGAUUGGUUUAUCGGAAGGGAGUAGAUUUGCUUGUUGAGGUCAUUCCAGAAGUAUGCCGAUUACAUUCCAAUGUUCGUUUCAUUAUUGGAGGUGAUGGACCUAAGCGUGUACGGUUGGAAGAGAUGAGAGAAAAGCAUUCUCUUCAAGAUCGAGUUGAAAUGUUGGGAGCUGUGCCACAUGCACAAGUCCAAUCCGUUCUAGUAUCUGGGCAUAUCUUCUUAAACAGCUCCUUAACAGAAGCUUUUUGUAUAGCCAUUCUAGAGGCUGCUAGUUGUGGAUUGUUAACAGUCAGCACACGUGUUGGAGGAGUUCCUGAGGUUUUGCCAGAUGACAUGAUUGUUUUGGCAGAACCUGAUCCCGGUGAUAUGGUGCAUGCAGUUCAAAGGGCUAUAUCUAUGCUGCCAAAAAUUGAUCCACAAGUCAUGCACAAUCGAAUGAGGGAACUCUACAACUGGCAUGACGUUGCCAAAAGGACCACAAUUGUAUAUGACCGUGCUUUGAAGUGCUCCAAUCAAAAUCUAUUAGAACGUCUCACACGGUACCUCUUUUGUGGAGCAUGGGCAGGCAAGCUAUUUUGCUUGGUUAUGAUUGUUGGUUUUUUGUUAUGGCAGCUAUUGGAACUAUGGCAGCCUGCAGAUGAUAUUGAGGAGGUGCCAGAUUUUACUCUUCCACACAACUGUGAUGAAGAGAUGUUGGAAGAAAACCCAAUGAAAAGAGUAGCGUGACACAUUAUUUUGGUGAACCACGGAGUUUUGUUUUGCCCUCUAUCUGAAAUGCAGAAUAUCAAAAGAAUACUGAUGGUGUUCCAUUAGCUGCAUUCCUCCGUCCCAGUUCCCAGAUAUGGAAAUUGGAGUGUUUAUAAAACCUGUUAGUGGAACUGGAUGAUCAAAAGAGGAUCACAAAAACAAUGGAUUCAGAAUCAGUGAAGAGCACCAGUACAGAGAGGGUUCAACCUGGUUUUGAUUCUUCUUCAGGGAAACAAGU